UUUCUUUAAUGGAAGAGUAGAGUUGUGCAUGAAAUGUGACUACACGAGUAAGUUUAGGCAAAGUAUGUUUGCUUGGAGCUGUGCUGUGGUUCUAAAAGAUGACAUACAUCUCAUUCAGCUACUGUGAAAUAAGUCUCAUAUCCCAAGACCUGGCUCCAUGGCUGUCCAUGCGAGGAAGUGCCCCAGCACCCACUCUGCACAGAGAUGUGGAGUAGUCCCUCCAGCUCUUGAAGUGAUGCUGCAUAUACGAAGAUAGAUUUAAGAAGUAUUGAAGCAGAACAAUGUGGACAGAUCUCAGCAAGCUGGAGAAAUGAGCUGAAAGAAAUCUCACAAACAUCAAAAAGGUGAAGCAUAAAGUCCUGCUCCUGGAGGGGAAAAUCCCAGGAACUAGUAUGUGCUGGUGGCCAUCCAGCUUGAAAGCAGUGCUGGAGAAAAAGAUCUAGGGGUCCUGAUAAACACUGAGCUAAGCAUGAGCCAGCAGCAUGCUCCAUAAAUAGGGCUAACAGUAUCAUGGUCUGCACUGGGAAGCUGUCUGAAGGCUCCUCCUGGAGACUGUUAGAACCCAAAAGCCAAGAAAAACAUAGGUUAAGCCACGUGCAACUAUCUAGGCUUGCUUUUAACCUGUUUUAUAUCCCUCUGGUCCUCUUCAUCUACAAGAUGUUGGCUCACAAUAUCAUACUUACCUCUCACACCAAUCAUCACAGAGAUUAGUACUUAAUCAGCAAUCCCAUAUCCCAGAAAAGAAUUUAAACACUAUUGUAAGUCUCCCCCCGAUCUGUUUUUAAGUCAAGCAUUUAACCUCCAUCUUUGCCACAUAGUGAACUGAGCUACACAUGGGCUAAGGGAGUUCAUAUUAAUCUUUUAUUGGCAUGCCUGGAAUUUACACCCUGUCAGAAAAGAAUGGAAAUUCUGGACAACGUAUAUGAAGCCAUUGCUAUCAAAGUUGCUGUAGUAUGAAAUGGCUCUACACUUACAACUUCUUAGAUAAAGCUUCUGUUAUCCCAAAAAUAGCACAAUGAAGUAACUUAGCCAUAUAUUCUAACUAAAAAGCUUAUGAAUUUAUUUAUAGGUUGGAGCUGAGAGUAUCAUAUUUCUCCAUAUCUAUUUGCUAGAGUUUAAAAAUAUACCAUCAUUCAGCAAAUAUGACAAGAAACCAUAGGUGGCACAAGAUGUGUGAAGUCUAAGGACAACUAAGUAUUAAGAGAAAGAAAUCUUAGGCUGAUGAAUAUCAAAGAUAGCACACUUCAUGACAAUAACUUAGUUGUGAAGUGAAAUAUCUUCAGAGAAUGUCAACAAAUCUAAAAAAGUCCUAGUUAUGGAAUACACCUGCUACAUAAAUGAUUCGCUAAAUAAUAGCAUAUAGAGCACAUAGUGACUAAGUAAUUGGCGUUAGCUAGCUGCAUUUCUUCACUUACUUGCAGAGUUAACAGAUAGCUGACUGAGUUCACAGUCAAUGCUUAUUCAGACCAUGAAAUGGAGUCGGUGCAAUGGCCCUACAGUGAGGUGCAAAUUUUUAAGCCGGCCUUUUUGUAUAGCCAUCUGCAAAGUUCUUGGUGAAGAACCUGUGCACUGAUACAUUAAAGCAAAUUGUAACCCACCUCCUAAAGCAGUUAAAAAUUUGCAGAAAAACAGUUAGUCCCUGUUUCCUAGCUGUUAACCUGUGGAUUAUUGCUAGAAGAAUAACACUAACUAGUGGUGUUUAGAAAGCUGUGAGAUGAGUAGUUAUUCCAAGACUGAAAAGAAGGCAGGCUGAGAAAACUCUCAACCGGAAUAGUCUGUUUUGGAUCAAAAAUGACAGCAAUUUAGGUAGAAUAGCUUUAGUUUAUCCCAAUCUAACUGCAUAAAAUGAUGAUCGCAAGUUUACCCAGCUGUGCUAAUACGAUCCUCAAGGUGGAGUGACAAGAGAGUUUGCAAUUUAAAGCCUACAGCCAGAAUACGAAGGCAGGUCAGGGCUUCCAGCUCCCUAGCCUGCCAGCUUCUGACAGCAGCUCCAGUCUUAACACACAGUGUGAGCAGAUGAUAAAUAAUUGAGAAUUUAUUAUAUCAAUUGCCUAUGAUUCUUCCUGUCUUGUACACAUUAGAAAUUUUCUUUAAACGUGCAUGUUUUAAUUUGCAGUUUAGCAAGUGUGUCCAGUAUCUAGCAAUCUACAGAAUCUUCACUAAGAAAGUAAGCUUUUUUUUCAGACUAAAUAGAAGAUUCUUCAUUUUGAAACACUUGAUUUUGAAAAUUGAGAUUUACCAAACCACUGUUUCUUAGCUAUGUUGCUCUUCAUUUACUUAUCACACCAGUUCAAUGGGUCUUAGUGGUCUCACUGUACUUUAUAUGGACUGUGCGACUUACAAUCAUUUCCACUGAUUAAUUUUGUACAAUUUAUGUACUGGGAAUAUUUUACUUAUUAUUAGCAGCCUCUUUAUUGCAAGCAACAUUUUUAAAGACUAUUAUAUGUCAAAAAAUAGGGCUAAACUUGGCUCUCAGUUCUAGGAACAUAAAUAAAUAUUAUCUUUCCUC
rnacentral:lncRNA from 7 species